UCCAGGAGUACUGCACUCCAGCCUGGGCGAGAGUGAGACCCUGUCCCCAUAGGGGAAAAAAUAAAAGAAAAACAUAUAACCAUACCCCAGCCAGUUUUUUUCCCUCUAUAAAAAGGAAGCAGUAAUGCCCACCCCUUUUCAUGCCACCCCCCAACUUGGCCUCAGUGACUAUUGUUUCAGCUCCUCUUCUCUGGUAGCAGCCGUUUCUCCUCAUUGGCCCAAAAAGAGGAGAGCAAGUGUGUUGAUCUGCCCUGGGUCCAUCCACCUGCUCUGUCUCUUUGUCUGCGAGGGUGACUGAAUGAAGCGCUGCCUGCCACCUGCCUUUUUGUGCCUCUCGACCGGCUGUUUGCCGCAUUGGAGGACUGGCUUCAACAUGUGAAAGUGGAUCAAUUGGCAGAGCUCAGGGCUAUGCUCAGCGCCCUCUGCACAGGCUGGAAGAUGAGGAGGGAAUGCAGACCCCACCAUCGGCCCUGGAAGGCUGAAACUGAACCAUUGGAGGCAUCAUCAUCUGUUGUCCCUCCCCAGUUCUUCUAAGGAAUCAGCAGCCCCACGCUACCAGGCCUCCGUUUUUGUGCCCCUCCCCCAGAGUGCCCUCUGCAGUUCUUUGGAACACAGAGUUGCAAGAUCAGUGUUUGUGUUUCCUUUAGUUUGGAAAGUCAUUUUCCAUCCAGAAGCUUGUCUGAUUCUUACAACGACCUUGAAGAACAGGGAGCCAGGGUCUUGGCAUCCUCCCUUGGUGGGAUUUGGCUCCAAGUCUGCUGGGUCGCAGCCAGGAGCCUGUUUACUACAUCGGAAGACCCUUCAUGAAAUGUUUUGAACAUCUUUUGAAUACAAUGAAGCUUCUCACCCCCAAAUUUGCCGAGAAGCUGGAGAGGAGGUGUGUUAAAGCUCCACAGCCCACCUGCUCCUGCACUUUGGCAGCUUUGGUAAGUUGCUCAUGGAAGGGCUUCUUUUGUAGGGUGGCCAAAAUAGCAAACAUCUAAGACUGCCUUCCUGGGAGCAGAGGAGGCAGAAAGCCAUGUGGCAAGUGUGUAACAUAGAAAAUGUAGCAAGUCUUCCCAUGAACUCCAGAAAUGUCUUUGAAGGUUGUUGCUUUCCCAUUCAUUUCCUAUAAGCAGGACUUCAGUUUUCAGAUGUCAUUCUCAGAAUAACAGUGUAUUAUUUUUGUUUUUUGUUUUGUUUUUUCCUGA